AUACAGUCUUAUGUCUACACUUAUCUUCUAUUUACAUUUUCUGUUUUGUCAUUGUUACCUGCUCCGCCGUCCAAGGGUGAGCAGUAUGAGGGAGGGGUUAAACUACUACUCUGAGCGUAAAUCUAAGGUGUACUGUCUAAGACAAGACAUCCGUAACCUUUCUAAGCGCAAAUAAAUCUUACCACAUAGACGACAAAAACUACAAUACGUCGGCAACGC